UCUUACGGACAAGCAAUGAAAGUGGUUUCUUGAGAUGAAAUCUACUCCCAGUGAAGAUGCUGUGAG
rnacentral:pre_miRNA from 1 species